GACGAACGCUGGCGGCGUGCUUAACACAUGCAAGUCGAACGAACCUUUCGGGGUUAGUGGCGGACGGGUGAGUAACACGUGGGAACGUGCCUUUAGGUUCGGAAUAACUCAGGGAAACUUGUGCUAAUACCGAAUGUGCCCUUCGGGGGAAAGAUUUAUCGCCUUUAGAGCGGCCCGCGUCUGAUUAGCUAGUUGGUUGAGGUAAUGGCUCACCAAGGCGACGAUCAGUAGCUGGUCUGAGAGGAUGAUCAGCCACAUUGGGACUGAGACACGGCCCAAACUCCUACGGGAGGCAGCAGUGGGGAAUCUUGCGCAAUGGGCGAAAGCAUGACGCAGCCAUGCCGCGUGAAUGAUGAAGGUCUUAGGAUUGUAAAAUUCUUUCACCGGGGACGAUAAUGACGGUACCCGGAGAAGAAGCCCCGGCUAACUUCGUG
rnacentral:rRNA from 1 species